AUCAAUAUAUGUUUGGUUUCAAAACAAUUGACGUAGUGCCUGCUGAGAAAAAACAACUAAAUGUUCAUUGUAAAUUUUGCUUCCCCACCCUGUAUAGGGUCUUAGCUUCUCUCCCCCAUAACUUGGGGUCCUAAAGGUCCCAACAUCUCCUUGUGAACCCCAUAGUCCAAACAUCUGGAACCCAUACAUUAACUCACAUUCUUUGUAAUAUUUACCUUUUCUAUAUGACCUCUAGAGGACAUUAUUUAUUAUACCUUACACUUCAGAUCCAUCCUUACAGAUAUGAAGGGAUUGCUCAAUUUUAUUAUUUAUAUCUCAGUUCUCCUAGCAUAACACCUGAAAGUGAUAGGCGUGGGACAUUCAUUAGUGGAGUUUUUAUCUUACAGUUCAUGACUUGGGAAACCAAACUUAAGCCCAUCAGAUGAUUUAAGACCCAUAGGAGGUCAUCUGCACAUCCAUUGUCUUCCUACUUUACAGCACUACUUAUUUUGACCCCCUACCCCAAAGUUAUUUCUCUCAUCUACCGUAGGCUCCUGUCCCCUCAGGGUCAUUGGCCUGGGAUCCCCUGCUGACCUGGUCCACCAUGGGGAGUCAGUGUAAUCACAUAGAGAAGAUUAUAGGGUUUUCCAGGAUGCAUGGGAACCCUGACAUCAUUUUCAACAAGUUCAUCUAUUUUUGCAGCAUCACUGUCCAGUGAGAACCACAUAUAUCUAAUCACUUUCUCAUGACUUCAGAAAUGCAUUCCUGUCUCACUUUUAUCAACCUUAAAGAAAAUGUAUCCCUUAAGACUGAAGAUGAUCACAAAUGCUCAAAAUCGAUACACCUGGAGAUGGUACAUGACUUUCAGUAGAUAGGAAGUAUGUGAAGAACUGUAACCUGAGGUGUUAGAUAAAUGUAGCGCAAUAAAAAAUACAAGAAGUAGAAGUAUUAAGUUGUGUGAAAUGGAAAAACUAAAGCAGACUAACCCAAAUAUGCACUUAGUUACCACUGGUUACAACAUACUGGUGUAUUUGUUUACCGGAUUGUUGUAAAUAUGGUUGAAAUUACAGGCAAAUUUGGUUUAAGCUGAUUAUCAGUGCAAGUUACAGUCUGUACAUUUAUAGUAAACACUGACUACACCAUAUCACCACAUGGAAAUAAAUACAAAAAAGAAGUCUGUACAGUUGC